ensembl:lncRNA
CAGGAACCAGGUGACACAUCAGACUGUUGGCUCACUUACAAUGAUGAGCACGUCACCGUGACAACGGGUGAAUCCGUGUGUCACCUGAGGCAGGCAUCAGCGUACCUUUUGUUUUAUGAAAAGCAGUGAGGAAACAUGGAGACCAGCCCUCAGAACAAGAAGCUGGAACAUCUCCGUGUCUGUGUCUGUCUGUCUGUGUGUCUGUCUGUCUAUGUGUCUGUCUGUGUGUCCGUCUCUCCCUCUCUCUCUCUCUCUCUCUCUCUCUAUCUCUCUCUAUCCCUUCCUCUCUCUCUCUCUCUAUCUCUCUGUCUCUCUCUCUCUCUCCCCCUCUCUCUCUCUCUCUAUCUCUCUGUCUCUCUCUCUCUCUCCCCCUCUCUCUCUCUCUCUAUCUCUCUCUAUCUCUCUCUAUCCCUUCCUCUCUCUCUCUCUCUCUCUCUCUCUCCCUCUCUCUCCCUCUCUCUCCCUCUCUCUCUCCCUCUCUCUCUCUCUCUCUCUCUCUCUCUCUCUCUCUCUCUCUCUCAACCCAGCCGGCCAGCAGCAGAUGGGUUCCCCCAUAUGAGUCGGGUUCUGCUCAAGGUUUCUUCCUGUUAAAAGGGAGUUUUCUCCUUGCCACUGUUGCCUUAAGGCUUGCUCUGUGGGGGUUCAGGCCAUAUGGGUUCUGUAAAGCAUUUUGACACAUCUGGAUUUUAAUUGGCACUAUAUAAAUAAAAUUGGAUUGAAUUGAAUUGAAUUUAUUUAUAUUUGUUUUUUGAAUAAAUGUAUAAAUAUUUG